ACAGCAGUAGCCGCGGUAAUACGGAGGGAGCUAGCGUUGUUCGGAAUUACUGGGCGUAAAGCGCACGUAGGCGGUUAUUCAAGUCAGAGGUGAAAGCCCGGGGCUCAACCCGGAACUGCCUUUGAAACUAGAUGACUGGAAUCUUGGAGAGGUCAGUGGAAUUCCGAGUGUAGAGGUGAAAUUCGUAGAUAUUCGGAAGAACACCAGUGGCGAAGGCGACUGACUGGACAAGUAUCGACGCUGAGGUGCGAAAGCGUGGGGAGCAAACAGGAUUAGAUACCCGAGUAGUCCCUGUCUCUUAUACA
rnacentral:rRNA from 1 species